UGCAUAGGAAUCUGCCCAGUAGUGGGGGAUAACGUGGAGAAAUCCACGCUAAUACCGCAUAUGUCCCACGGGACAAAGCAGGGGACCUUCGGGCCUUGCGCUAUUGGAUGAGCCUAUGUUGGAUUAGCUUGUUGGUAGAGUAAAAGCCUACCAGGCGACGAUCCAUAGCUGGUCUGAGAGGAUGAUCAGCCACACUGGGACUGAGACACGGCCCAG
rnacentral:rRNA from 1 species